rnacentral:tRNA from 1 species
GCGCCACUAGCUCAGUUGGUAGAGCAGCUGACUCUUAAUCAGCGGGUCGGGGGUUCGAGCCCCUCGUGGCGCACCA